rnacentral:rRNA from 1 species
CCUACGGGAGGCUGCAGUCGAGAAUCAUUCACAAUGGGGGAAACCCUGAUGGUGCGACGCCGCGUGGGGGAAUGAAGUUCUUCGGAUUGUAAACCCCUGUCAUGUGGGAGCAAAUUAAAAAGAUAGUACCACAAGAGGAAGAGACGGCUAACUCUGUGCCAGCAGCCGCGGUAAUACAGAGGUCUCAAGCGGUGUUCGGAAUCACUGGGCGUAAAGCGUGCGUAGGCUGUUUCGUAAGUCGUGUGUGAAAGGCGCGGGCUCAACCCGCGGACGGCACAUGAUACUGGGAGACUAGAGUAAGGGAGGGGGAAGCGGAAUGCUCGGUGUAGCAGUGAAAUGCGUAGAUAUCGAGAGGAACACUCGUGGCGAAGGCGGGUUCCUGGACAUUAACUGACGCUGAGGCACGAAGGCCAGGGGAGCGAAAGGGAUUAGAUACCCGAGUAGUC